rnacentral:rRNA from 1 species
GGUUAAGUGACUAAGCGUACACGGUGGAUGCCUUGGCAGUCAGAGGCGAUGAAGGACGUAGUAACUUGCGAUAAGCUCAGAUUAGGCAGUAACAGCCACUUGAGUCUGAGAUUUCCGAAUGGGGAAACCCAACUGCAUAAGCAGUUACUGUUAACUGAAUACAUAGGUUAACAGAGCGAACCGGGGGAACUGAAACAUCUAAGUACCCCGAGGAGAAGAAAUCAACCGAGAUUCCGAUAGUAGCGGCGAGCGAAAUUGGAUUAGCCCUUAAGCUUUACAUGCGUCAGGUGAAGGUUCUGGAAAGGACCGCGAAACAGGGUGAUAGCCCCGUAGCCGACAGCGCAUGUUCAGUGAAAUCGAGUAGGGCGGGACACGUGUUAUCCUGUCUGAAUAUGGGGGGACCAUCCUCCAAGGCUAAAUACUCCUGACUGACCGAUAGUGAACCAGUACCGUGAGGGAAAGGCGAAAAGAACCCCUGUGAGGGGAGUGAAAUAGAACCUGAAACCGUGUACGUACAAGCAGUAGGAGCCUCUUCGUGGGGUGACUGCGUACCUUUUGUAUAAUGGGUCAGCGACUUAUAUUCAGUGGCAAGGUUAACCAUUUAGGGGAGCCGUAGGGAAACCGAGUCUUAACUGGGCGUUCAGUCUCUGGAUAUAGACCCGAAACCGGGUGAUCUAGCCAUGGGCAGGUUGAAGGUUGAGUAACAUCAACUGGAGGACCGAACCGACUAAUGUUGAAAAAUUAGCGGAUGACUUGUGGCUAGGGGUGAAAGGCCAAUCAAACUCGGAGAUAGCUGGUUCUCCCCGAAAGCUAUUUAGGUAGCGCCUCGGACGAAUACUACUGGGGGUAGAGCACUGUUAAGGCUAGGGGGUCAUCCCGACUUACCAACCCUUUGCAAACUCCGAAUACCAGUAAGUACUAUCCGGGAGACACACGGCGGGUGCUAACGUCCGUCGUGGAGAGGGAAACAACCCAGACCGCCAGCUAAGGUCCCAAAUUACAGCUAAGUGGGAAACGAUGUGGGAAGGCUCAGACAGCUAGGAUGUUGGCUUAGAAGCAGCCAUCAUUUAAAGAAAGCGUAAUAGCUCACUAGUCGAGUCGGCCUGCGCGGAAGAUGUAACGGGGCUAAGCUGUAAACCGAAGCUGCGGCAAUGCGAUUUAUCGUAUUGGGUAGGGGAGCGUUCUGUAAGCCGUUGAAGGUGUGUUGUAAAGCAUGCUGGAGGUAUCAGAAGUGCGAAUGCUGACAUGAGUAACGACAAGGGGGGUGAAAAACCUCCCCGCCGGAAGACCAAGGGUUCCUGUCCAACGUUAAUCGGGGCAGGGUAAGUCGACCCCUAAGGCGAGGCCGAAAGGCGUAGUCGAUGGGAAACGGGUUAAUAUUCCCGUACUUCUUACAAUUGCGAUGGGGGGACGGAGAAGGCUAGGUGGGCCUGGCGACGGUUGUCCAGGUUCAAGUGCGUAGGCUUGAGGGUUAGGUAAAUCCGGCUCUCUUUAAGGCUGAGACACGACGUCGAGCUACUACGGUAGUGAAGUCAUUGAUGCCAUGCUUCCAGGAAAAGCCUCUAAGCUUCAGAUUGUAAGGAAUCGUACCCCAAACCGACACAGGUGGUCGGGUAGAGAAUACCAAGGCGCUUGAGAGAACUCGGGUGAAGGAACUAGGCAAAAUGGUACCGUAACUUCGGGAGAAGGUACGCUCUUGAUGGUGAAGUCCCUCGCGGAUGGAGCUGAUGAGAGUCGCAGAUACCAGGUGGCUGCAACUGUUUAUUAAAAACACAGCACUGUGCAAAAUCGUAAGAUGACGUAUACGGUGUGACGCCUGCCCGGUGCCGGAAGGUUAAUUGAUGGGGUUAGCGUAAGCGAAGCUCUUGAUCGAAGCCCCGGUAAACGGCGGCCGUAACUAUAACGGUCCUAAGGUAGCGAAAUUCCUUGUCGGGUAAGUUCCGACCUGCACGAAUGGCGUAAUGAUGGCCACGCUGUCUCCACCCGAGACUCAGUGAAAUUGAAAUCGCUGUGAAGAUGCAGUGUACCCGCGGCUAGACGGAAAGACCCCGUGAACCUUUACUACAGCUUGGCACUGAACAUUGAACCUACAUGUGUAGGAUAGGUGG